rnacentral:piRNA from 1 species
UAGGAUGUGUCACAUUGCAAAAGAAUGUAGU